AAAGCGUGCGCAGGCGGUUAUGUAAGACAGAUGUGAAAUCCCCGGGCUCAACCGGGGAACUGCAUUUGUGACUGCAUGGCUAGAGUACGGUAGAGGGGGAUGGAAUUCCGCGUGUAGCAGUGAAAUGCGUAGAUAUGCGGAGGAACACCGAUGGCGAAGGCAAUCCCCUGGACCUGUACUGACGCUCAUGCACGAAAGCGUGGGGAGCAAACAGGAUUAGAUACCCGAGU
rnacentral:rRNA from 1 species